rnacentral:rRNA from 1 species
AUUGAACGCUGGCGGCAGGCCUAACACAUGCAAGUCGAGCGGAUGACGGGAGCUUGCUCCUUGAUUCAGCGGCGGACGGGUGAGUAAUGCCUAGGAAUCUGCCUGGUAGUGGGGGACAACGUUUCGAAAGGAACGCUAAUACCGCAUACGUCCUACGGGAGAAAGCAGGGGACCUUCAGGCCUUGCGCUAUCAGAUGAGCCUAGGUCGGAUUAGCUAGUUGGUGGGGUAAUGGCUCACCAAGGCGACGAUCCGUAACUGGUCUGAGAGGAUGAUCAGUCACACUGGAACUGAGACACGGUCCAGACUCCUACGGGAGGCAGCAGUGGGGAAUAUUGGACAAUGGGCGAAAGCCUGAUCCAGCCAUGCCGCGUGUGUGAAGAAGGUCUUCGGAUUGUAAAGCACUUUAAGUUGGGAGGAAGGGCAGUAAGUUAAUACCUUGCUGUCUUGACGUUACCGACAGAAUAAGCCCCGGCUAACUCCGUGCCAGCAGCCGCCGUAA